GCCGAGCUGCCCCGCGGCGAGCGGAGCGGCCGCUGCGGCGCGCGGCCCGGCGGCAUCCACGCGCUCCUCAAGGCGGUGCCGCUCUGCCGCUGACGUCGCUGUAGCCUGGAAUUAGUGGCGCGCGCACUCGGGAAGGGACGGAAAGGCCAAGGGAAAAGUGUGCUCAGGGAAAUUAGCCGGUGCAUAAGGCUCGUUGGCUAACUUCUUAUUUACCUUUCUCUUGGUUUGGGGUGUUAAUUCUUUUUAGGUGUGGCUACUCUGCAAUGUGAACCAUUGAUCAUCAAGGCGUGUGUACAUACAUAUUUGAUGGGGGGAUUUGUGAUUGUAACCUAUUUGUACAUAUGUGAAAUGUUCUUAUAUAAACAUGCACUUAGCUUUAAAUUGGGAAUGUGAGUUUGGUGGUACUUUCUGUUUGUGUCUCACGGUUGGAACUCGGAAAUGGCAUAAGAAUUUGCUAAAGACAUCUAUA
rnacentral:lncRNA from 1 species